UACGGGGGGGCAAGCGUUGUUCGGAAUUACUGGGCGUAAAGGGCUCGUAGGCGGCCAACUAAGUCGGAUGUGAAAUCCCCAGGCUCAACUUGGGAACUGCAUCCGAUACUGGAUGGCUUGAAUUCGGGAGAGGGAUGCAGAAUUCCAGGUGUAGCGGUGAAAUGCGUAGAUAUCUGGAGGAAUACCGGUGGCGAAGGCGGCAUCCUGGACCGACAUUGACGCUGAGGAGCGAAAGCCAGGGGAGCAAGCGGG
rnacentral:rRNA from 1 species